UGUUAAAAUUUUCAUUCGUUUGUAGUGUUUAAAACUGGCGUGGUUAAUUGAAUAACCAGACAAUAACACGUGGCAUAUCACCUAUACCUCAUGCUAACCUAUAAUAACUUGUUUUUAACAGUAGAAAUGAAUGAAAUUUUUAAUA
rnacentral:pre_miRNA from 1 species